rnacentral:tRNA from 1 species
GAGAACUUUGACUUCUCAAAUGUAAGUUCAACCCUUAUCUUCCUAA